GAUUUCAACUAAAAAAGUUAUGAACAAUAAAGUUGUAUAACUCAUCAAGAUCUAUAACUUUUAUUUUUGUAAUUUCUUCAUCCGAUAAAGUGUUUGUAACAUUGUUCACAAAAUUUACAUAUCUGUGUUAUAUAAUUUAUAAAACCGGAUGAAAGAUAUGUGAAUUUUGUGAACAAUAUUACUAUCACUUUAUUGGAUGAAGAAAUGUCCAAAAUAAAAUUUAUAGGUCUUGAUGAGUUAUACAACUUUGUUGUUGAUGACUUUUUCAGUUCAAAUC
rnacentral:pre_miRNA from 1 species